AUUGAACGCUGGCGGCAUGCCUUACACAUGCAAGUCGAACGGCAGCACGGGUGCUUACACCUGGUGCGAGUGGCGAACGGGUGAGUAAUGCAUCGGAACGUACCCGGAAGUGGGGGAUAACGUAGCGAAAGUUACGCUAAUACCGCAUAUUCUGUGAGCAGGAAAGCGGGGGAUCGCAAGACCUCGCGCUUCCGGAGCGGCCGAUGUAGGAUUAGCUAGUUGGCGGGGUAAAGGCCCACCAAGGCAACGAUCCGUAGCGGGUCUGAGAGGAUGAUCCGCCACACUGGGACUGAGACACGGCCCAGACUCCUACGGGAGGCAGCAGUGGGGAAUUUUGGACAAUGGGGGCAACCCUGAUCCAGCCAUGCCGCGUGAGUGAAGAAGGCCUUCGGGUUGUAAAGCUCUUUCGGCUGGGAAGAAAUCGCAUCUCCUAAUACGGGGUGUGGAUGACGGUACCAGCAUAAGAAGCACCGGCUAACUACGUGCCAGCCGCCGCAGUAACAC
rnacentral:rRNA from 1 species